UGGAAUAGGUGUGCAUCUAGUAAAUGGAUCUCCACUGUAUCCAGGUAAACAACUACAGAUUGGACUGUGAUUUACAACGACGCAGUUAGUUUGGAGACCACAUGGGCGAGGGCAAGGGUCCACACAUUUUUGAUUCACGCAUGCAAAUUGCGAUGAACAUUCCGAACUGGAGACGCACUCGGGUCUACAAGCUGGUGGGCUGCCAAUGUAUGUGGGAAGGCAAGAGCAGACUGCUUGUUUAUUCAGUACUCUGCACUGGCUGUUGGGACCGCAAGGUGAUGGUUGGCACGGAUUUACAUGCUCCACGGGUUUCACAGCUUGAAAUUGGACAAUAAAUCAAUUAGAUUAU
rnacentral:misc_RNA from 1 species